rnacentral:rRNA from 1 species
CGUCUAUAUACGUAUAGCAUAUCAAUAAGCGGAGGAAAAGAAACUAACAUAGGAUUCCCUCAGUAACGGCGAGUGAAGCGGGAAGAGCUCAAAUUUGAAAUCUUCAAGGUUUUACCUUGACGAAUUGUAGUUUAAAGAAGUGUUUUCUGUUGGAAGUUUUGGUAAAAGUUCUUUGGAAAUAGGACAUCAUAGAGGGUGAGAAUCCCGUAUUUGACCAUUAUUUCCAACUUUGUGAUACACUUUCAAAGAGUCGGAUUGUUUGGGAAUGCAGUCCAAAAUGGGUGGUAAAUUUCAUCUAAAGCUAAAUACUGGCGAGAGACCGAUAGCGAACAAGUACCGUGAGGGAAAGAUGAAAAGAACUUUGAAAAGAGAGUUAAACAGUACGUGAAAUUGUCAAAAGGGAAGCGUUUGACACCAGUGUUGUUUUCUCGAAAAUCAAUUAAAAAUGGCAGGAUUUUGUGUUGUAUUGACUUUAUCAGCUUUCUGCACUUUUUUCUUGUCUUUUUUAAUGCACUUUUCGUUUAACAAGUCAACAUCAAUUUCUUUUGUUGUAAAAGGGUCAUUGGAAGGUGGCUUUCUUUUCGGAGAAAGUGUUUAUAGCCUUUGACUUCUGCAGUCGGAGAGAUUGAGGUCUGCAGCGUAGAUCCUUCGGGGUUAGAUACAUUUGUGCUAAGUUAUAGCCUUUCAUAGACAACUUGUUGACUAUGAUCAGUCAUGUAGCUUACUCGCUUAUGUUAUUUUACCUACGCUUAGGAUGUUGAUCUGUAGUGCGUGCGC